rnacentral:rRNA from 1 species
UAGGAAUCUUCCACAAUGGGCGAAAGCCUGAUGGAGCGACGCCGCGUGAGGGAUGAAGGCCUUAGGGUUGUAAACCUCUAAAAGAGGGACGAUAAUGACGGUACCUCUUGAAUAGCACCGGCUAACUCCGUGCCAGCAGCCGCGGUAAUACGGAGGGUGCAAGCGUUAUCCGGAAUCACUGGGCGUAAAGGGCGCGUAGGCGGUCUGUUAAGUCCGAUGUUAAAUCCCGGGGCUCAACCCCGGAUAAGCGUUGGAUACUGGCAGGCUAGACGGUUGGAGAGGCGAGUUGAAUUACCAGUGUAGCGGUGGAAUGCGUAGAUACUGGUAGGAACACCCAUUGCGAAGGCAGCUCGCUGGACAACACGUGACGCUGAGGCGCGAAAGUGUGGGGAGCAAACC